rnacentral:rRNA from 1 species
UGGNAGGNGCAGUCUGAACCAGCCAUGCCGCGGUGGAGGAUGAAGGCCCUCUGGGUUGUAAACUUCUUUUAUCUGGGACGAAAAAAGACUUUUCUAAGUCACUUGACGGUACCAGAGGAAUAAGCACCGGCUAACUCCGUGCCAGCAGCCGCGGUAAUACGANACGA